UAACUUUUUUAUUUUACCAUUGUGUAGAAAAAUGACAGGAAUAUACUUAAAGACCCAUAGUACGUAGUCAAUCUGAAAGGACACACCUGGGACCAGGGGAAGGAAGGGAUGGGAUUGGAGGGAAGAUCUACUUUUCACUGAAUUUUUCAAGGGCAGUUUGAAAUUUUGCAGUGUUCAUGAAUAACCUAUUGAAAAAUGCACUUAAAGGAAAAAAAUUAACUUUUUUGUUUAUUCAACUAACACUUUAAGUACAUACUAUAUUUCAUGCACUGCUAGGCCCUGGAACUAAAGGCAGACACUGUUCUAAAGGAGCACACAGAUUUUGGAAGAGGAGAUGCAAGACAGAGUUAAAAGUGUCAGGAUAGGUUAUCUAGAGAAGAUGAUGUCUGACCCAGAAAUAUGAAGGAAGAGUUUGUCAAGAGGACAGAAGGUGGGGGAAGGGAACUGAAGUUUAGGCGCAAGAAACAAUGUGCAAAGGUCCUGGAUCUGUUCAGGGAAUAUGAAGUUGCAUAAGGAAGCUUAUUUGCUAACCCAUAGCCUCUAAUGUUGGCAGUGGAAGGAGAGCCAUUGCUAGGGCAGAAGUGACUGGGGUUUAGUGGCUCUGGUUCCUGUUGCCUAAUAUUUUCCUCUCCCUUUUAGGAUCUGUCAUUCUACCGAAACCUUCAUGCUGGGCUGGCAGUACUUCAUUGCUACAUGGUUUGAAUGGCCUUUCCAAACGUCAACUCACAGCAGCGUCAGAAGAAUCCUCACAGACGUCUGAGAAAUCUUCGUUCUAUGGACCCUCCUUUGCAAGCAACUUUCUAAGCCUGGUAAAUGGUAAAUGGCACCUUCCGAUCAGAGCAUCUCUCUGCCUUUCUUUGGAGGCAUCUGAUUUUUCCUUAUUCCCCUGUCGUCUCAUAACCGCUCUGGGUCCCUGUGUUCCACUCUGCGUCACAGAUGACAUCUUCAGUCUUCCCAGGAUGAAUUUCCCACACUGCUUCCUCCUGUGAGAAGUGGAGCCCCUGAAAUCCGAUUCUGAAGCAGGCAGAUUUGCUCAGGACAUCGAUGGAGAGCUGAACUAAGCUCAUGGCUGUGUGGGACCCAUGCUGUUUAUUCCUGGUCACCAAAAUCCCACCCUUUCCUUAUGUCAGCACUAAGGAAGGUAGUUGUGGGGAAAAUUGAGACCCGCUUUUACAGUGUGACCAAGUGAGAAAGUAAUGGAAUAACCUCAGUAAAUACUUCCCACUUAGGGGUUUUCCUGGAGGAGAAGUGGUUAAGACUUUGCCUUCCAAUGCAGGGGUUGCAGGUUCGAUCCCUGGUCGGGGAGUUAAGAUCCCACAUGCCUCAUGGCCAAAAACCAAAACAUAAAACAGAAGCAAUAUUAUAACAAAUUCAAUAAAGACUUAAAAAAAAUACACAUCAAAAACAAAAUCUUUAAAAAAACCCAACAAACACCUCCUAUCUAGAACAUAGAAAAAGGAGAAGAGCCAUUGUUGGUGAUAAGCCCAGAGCUCAUGCCUUCUAUUGCUGAUAAAUUACAGGAUCCCAGAGCCUCGGGGUCACCUCAUUGCUGGCAGUGGAGUCAGUUCUCUGGUUAGCGGAUCUGGAAGUAUCAGGUUCUGACUCCUGGGUGCCCUUGUCCAGUGCCUUUUCAGGGCCAUUGGAGAGUUGCACAUGGGAUGAUGUGGGGUGUGCUCAAAGCAGUUCACUUUCUGUCGGUGCAAAUACUUGGGCCUUGGGACUGCUUUAGAAAAUGAGAAAUUGUGGGCUCUCCUUCACUAGAUCUGAGUUUCUCUGGUUUUUGUUUUUCUUUCCUAUUUCUGGCAAUGCAACUCCCUUAAAUCAUUAUUUUAAAUUCCAGGACUCCAUUUGCUCAUAACCACUGGCAGAAAUC
rnacentral:lncRNA from 1 species